rnacentral:rRNA from 1 species
CAGCCCCGUACACAAAAAUGCACAUGCUGUGAGCUCGAUGAGUAGGGCGGGACACGUGGUAUCCUGUCUGAAUAUGGGGGGACCAUCCUCCAAGGCUAAAUACUCCUGACUGACCGAUAGUGAACCAGUACCGUGAGGGAAAGGCGAAAAGAACCCCGGCGAGGGGAGUGAAAAAGAACCUGAAACCGUGUACGUACAAGCAGUGGGAGCACAGAGCAAUCUGUGUGACUGCGUACCUUUUGUAUAAUGGGUCAGCGACUUAUAUUCUGUAGCAAGGUUAACCGAAUAGGGGAGCCGAAGGGAAACCGAGUCUUAACUGGGCGUUAAGUUGCAGGGUAUAGACCCGAAACCCGGUGAUCUAGCCAUGGGCAGGUUGAAGGUUGGGUAACACUAACUGGAGGACCGAACCGACUAAUGUUGAAAAAUUAGCGGAUGACUUGUGGCUGGGGGUGAAAGGCCAAUCAAACCGGGAGAUAGCUGGUUCUCCCCGAAAGCUAUUUAGGUAGCGCCUCGUGAAUUCAUCUCCGGGGGUAGAGCACUGUUUCGGCAAGGGGGUCAUCCCGACUUACCAACCCGAUGCAAACUGCGAAUACCGGAGAAUGUUAUCACGGGAGACACACGGCGGGUGCUAACGUCCGUCGUGAAGAGGGAAACAACCCAGACCGCCAGCUAAGGUCCCAAAGUCAUGGUUAAGUGGGAAACGAUGUGGGAAGGCCCAGACAGCCAGGAUGUUGGCUUAGAAGCAGCCAUCAUUUAAAGAAAGCGUAAUAGCUCACUGGUCGAGUCGGCCUGCGCGGAAGAUGUAACGGGGCUAAACCAUGCACCGAAGCUGCGGCAGCGACGCUGAUGCGUUGUUGGGUAGGGGAGCGUUCUGUAAGCCUGCGAAGGUGUGCUGUGAGGCAUGCUGGAGGUAUCAGAAGUGCGAAUGCUGACAUAAGUAACGAUAAAGCGGGUGAAAAGCCCGCUCGCCGGAAGACCAAGGGUUCCUGUCCAACGUUAAUCGGGGCAGGGUGAGUCGACCCCUAAGGCGAGGCCGAAAGGCGUAGUCGAUGGGAAACAGGUUAAUAUUCCUGUACUUGGUGUUACUGCGAAGGGGGGACGGAGAAGGCUAUGUUGGCCGGGCGACGGUUGUCCCGGUUUAAGCGUGUAGGCUGGUUUUCCAGGCAAAUCCGGAAAAC